rnacentral:rRNA from 1 species
GACGAACGCUGGCGGCGUGCUUAACACAUGCAAGUCGAACGGCAAGGCCCUGCUUUUGUGGGGUGCUCGAGUGGCGCACGGGUGAGUAACACGUGAGUAACCUGCCCUUGACUUUGGGAUAACUUCAGGAAACUGGGGCUAAUACCGGAUAGGAGCUCCUGCUGCAUGGUGGGGGUUGGAAAGUUUCGGCGGUUGGGGAUGGACUCGCGGCUUAUCAGCUUGUUGGUGGGGUAGUGGCUUACCCAGGCUUUGACGGGUAGCCGGCCUGAGAGGGGGACCGGCGACAAGGGGACUGAGAGACGGCCCAGACGGCUACGGGAGGCAGCAGGGGGGAAUAUUGCACAGUGGGCGGAAGCCUGAGGCAGCAACGCCGCGUGCGGGAUGACGGCCUUCGGGGUGUAAACCGCUUUCGCCUGUGACGAAGCGGGAGUGACGGUAAUGGGUAAAGAAGCACCGGCUAACUACGUG